CCUAGGUCAUAUUUAUUUUACGGAGGCGGUCAUAUACAUGCAAGUCGAGCGGACCGACGGGAGCUUGCUCCCUUAGGUCAGCGGCGGACGGGUGAGUAACACGUGGGUAACCUGCCUGUAAGACUGGGAUAACUCCGGGAAACCGGGGCUAAUACCGGAUGCUUGAUUGAACCGCAUGGUUCAAUCAUGAAAGGCGGCUUCGGCUGCCGUUUACAGAUGGACCCGCGGCGCAUUAGCUAGUUGGUGAGGUAACGGCUCACCAAGGCGACGAUGCGUAGCCGACCUGAGAGGGUGAUCGGCCACACUGGGACUGAGACACGGCCCAGACUCCUACGGGAGGCAGCAGUAGGGAAUCUUCCGCAAUGGACGAAAGUCUGACGGAGCAACGCCGCGUGAGUGAUGAAGGUUUUCGGAUCGUAAAGCUCUGUUGUUAGGGAAGAACAAGUACCGUUCGAAUAGGGCGGUACCUUGACGGUACCUAACCAGAAAGCCACGGCUAACUACGUGCCAGCAGCCGCGGUAAUACGUAGGUGGCAAGCGUUGUCCGGAAUUAUUGGGCGUAAAGCGCGCGCAGGCGGUUUCUUAAGUCUGAUGUGAAAGCCCCCGGCUCAACCGGGGAGGGUCAUUGGAAACUGGGGAACUUGAGUGCAAAAAGGAGAGUGAAUUCCACGUGUAGCGGUGAAAUGCGUAAGAUGUGAGGAACAGCAGUGGCGACGCGACUCUCUGGUCUGUAACUGACGCUGAGCGCGAAAGCGAUGGGGAGCGAACCAGGAUUACAUACGCCUGGUUAGUCCACGCCGUAACGAUGAGUGCUACUGUUAGAGGGUUCCGCCCUUUUACUGCUGCAGCAUACGCAUUAUCACUCGACCUGGCGGAGUACGGUCGCAGGGACUGAAACUCAAGGAUUGACGGGGCCCCGCACAGGCUGUGACCAUGUGUUCAGUCAGCACGCGAGACUUACAGGUCUGACAGUCUCUGAAUCCUAGAGAAUAUGGCGUCCGCUCGGGCAGGAUGACAGUGUGCAUGGAUUUCGUUCACUCAGUACUGAGAGUUUUGAUAAUACGCACGAGGCAGCAUGACUAUGCGACAUUCAUUGGUCACGUCUAAAGUC
rnacentral:rRNA from 1 species